UACAGAGGUCUCAAGCGUUGUUCGGAUUUAUUGGGCGUAAAGGGCGCGUAGGCGGCGGGGUAAGUCGGGUGUGAAAUCUCAGGGCUCAACCCUGAAACUGCACUUGAUACUGCUCUGCUUGAGGACUGGAGAGGAGACUGGAAUUCACGGUGUAGCAGUGAAAUGCGUAGAUAUCGUGAGGAAGACCCGUGGCGAAGGCGGGUCUCUGGACAGUUCCUGACGCUGAGGCGCGAAAGCCAGGGGAGCAAACGGG
rnacentral:rRNA from 1 species